rnacentral:rRNA from 1 species
GAGUUUGAUCUUGGCUCAGAUUGAACGCUGGCGGCAGGCCUAACACAUGCAAGUCGAGCGGUAGAGAGAAGCUUGCUUCUCUUGAGAGCGGCGGACGGGUGAGUAAUGCCUAGGAAUCUGCCUGGUAGUGGGGGAUAACGCUCGGAAACGGACGCUAAUACCGCAUACGUCCUACGGGAGAAAGCAGGGGACCUUCGGGCCUUGCGCUAUCAGAUGAGCCUAGGUCGGAUUAGCUAGUUGGUGAGGUAAUGGCUCACCAAGGCGACGAUCCGUAACUGGUCUGAGAGGAUGAUCAGUCACACUGGAACUGAGACACGGUCCAGACUCCUACGGGAGGCAGCAGUGGGGAAUAUUGGACAAUGGGCGAAAGCCUGAUCCAGCCAUGCCGCGUGUGUGAAGAAGGUCUUCGGAUUGUAAAGCACGUUUAAAGUUGGGAGAAGGGCAGUAAAUUAAUACUUUGCUGUUUUGACGUUACCGACAGAAUAAGCACCGGCUAACUCUGUGCCAGCACG